rnacentral:rRNA from 1 species
AUUGAACGCUGGCGGAAUGCUUUACACAUGCAAGUCGAACGGCAGCACGGGGGCAGCCCUGGUGGCGAGUGGCGAACGGGUGAGUAAUACAUCGGAACGUGCCCGGUCGUGGGGGAUAACGUAGCGAAAGUUACGCUAAUACCGCAUACGAUCUGAGGAUGAAAGCGGGGGACCUUCGGGCCUCGCGCGAUCGGAGCGGCCGAUGUCAGAUUAGGUAGUUGGUGGGGUAAAGGCCUACCAAGCCGACGAUCUGUAGCUGGUCUGAGAGGACGACCAGCCACACUGGGACUGAGACACGGCCCAGACUCCUACGGGAGGCAGCAGUGGGGAAUUUUGGACAAUGGGCGCAAGCCUGAUCCAGCCAUUCCGCGUGCAGGACGAAGGCCUUCGGGUUGUAAACUGCUUUUGUACGGAACGAAAAGGCUCUGGCUAAUACCUGGGGCUCAUGACGGUACCGUAAGAAUAAACACCGGCUAACUACGU